rnacentral:rRNA from 1 species
GCGGCGAGUGAGCGGCAAAAGCUCAAAUUUGAAAUCUGGCGCCUUCGGUGUCCGAGUUGUAAUUUGAAGAUUGUAACCUUGGGGUUGGCUCUUGUCUAUGUUUCUUGGAACAGGACGUCACAGAGGGUGAGAAUCCCGUGCGAUGAGAUGCCCAAUUCUAUGUAAGGUGCUUUCGAAGAGUCGAGUUGUUUGGGAAUGCAGCUCUAAGUGGGUGGUAAAUUCCAUCUAAAGCUAAAUAUUGGCGAGAGACCGAUAGCGAACAAGUACAGUGAUGGAAAGAUGAAAAGAACUUUGAAAAGAGAGUGAAAAAGUACGUGAAAUUGUUGAAAGGGAAGGGUUUGAGAUCAGACUCGAUAUUUUGUGAGCCUUGCCUUCGUGGCGGGGUGACCCGCAGCUUAUCGGGCCAGCAUCGGUUUGGGCGGUAGGAUAAUGGCGUAGGAAUGUGACUUUACUUCGGUGAAGUGUUAUAGCCUGCGUUGAUGCUGCCUGCCUAGACCGAGGACUGCGAUUUUAUCAAGGAUGCUGGCAUAAUGAUCCCAAACCGCCCGU